rnacentral:rRNA from 1 species
GAUGAACGCUAGCUACAGGCUUAACACAUGCAAGUCGAGGGAAACGACAUCGAAAGCUUGCUUUUGGUGGGCGUCGACCGGCGCACGGGUGAGUAACGCGUAUCCAACCUGCCCACACUUGGGGAUAACCUUGCGAAAGUAAGACUAAUACCCCAAUGAUAUCCCACGAAGGCAUCCGAAUGGGAUUAAAGAUUUANCGGUGAUGGAUGGGGAUGCGUCUGAUUAGCUUGUUGGCGGGGUAACGGCCCACCAAGGCUACGAUCAGUAGGGGGUUCUGAGAGGAAGGUCCCCCACAUUGGAACUGAGACACGGUCCAAACUCCUACGGGAGGCAGCAGUGAGGAAUAUUGGUCAAUGGGCGGAAGCCUGAACCAGCCAAGUAGCGUGCAGGAUGACGGCCCUAUGGGUUGUAAACUGCUUUUGUGCGGGGAUAAAGUGUGGGACGUGUCCCAUAUUGCAGGUACCGCAUGAAUAAGGACCGGCUAAUUCCGUG